rnacentral:rRNA from 1 species
GAUGAACGCUGGCGGCGUGCUUAACACAUGCAAGUCGAACGGUGAACACGGAGCUUGCUCUGUGGGAUCAGUGGCGAACGGGUGAGUAACACGUGAGCAACCUGCCCCUGACUCUGGGAUAAGCGCUGGAAACGGCGUCUAAUACUGGAUAUGUGACGUGACCGCAUGGUCUGCGUUUGGAAAGAUUUUUCGGUUGGGGAUGGGCUCGCGGCCUAUCAGCUUGUUGGUGAGGUAAUGGCUCACCAAGGCGUCGACGGGUAGCCGGCCUGAGAGGGUGACCGGCCACACUGGGACUGAGACACGGCCCAGACUCCUACGGGAGGCAGCAGUGGGGAAUAUUGCACAAUGGGCGCAAGCCUGGUGCAGCAACGCCGCGUGAGGGAUGACGGCCUUCGGGUUGUAAACCUCUUUUAGCAGGGAAGAAGCGAAAGUGACGGUACCUGCAGAAAAAGCGCCGGCUAACUACGUG